UGUACUUCAAGGUAUGUGGACUGUGGUCAUUUAAUGUGCGUGUUAUUUACACACGAUUAGAUCCGUCUCUUUGAAAUAUUUUUAGGUACCUCUUUUUAUAUCCAAUGGCUUUUUCACUCGAAGAUUAAGAUCAAACUUGACAUGAUCCAAUGCCUAGUAUCUUUCAUCAUAAACAUAAAUAUAACACCUCUAUUAUUUGUUACAAUUAUUUAUUCUUUCAAAGCUUCUAUCUUCAUUCUUUAUUCGCAAAUAUUAUGUAGUGGACAAUAUAGUGUUGCUCGCAAUUUUUCUUUGCUCAUUAAAAAUCCUUCGAAUCAUUUCUUAUGUAUGUAUUUUGUGUACUGUUGCUUCUUUUCUUGUGCUGUUCUUUUUUUAUUCAUUGUUUAUUGUAACCCGAUAAACUUUUAUCUAAAUAUUUUUAGGAAAUUGAUCCUGCAAAAUGCCUUCCCAAAAUAGAUCCAUAAGCUUCGAACUACACGAUCUAGAUUUAGGGAUGAUGGAGUUGAUUCGUCAAUGUCAUCCUUUGAAAAUGUAUUAUACUCUGAUGUCAUUCCUCGAUUGGCGAUCACAAGAAUUGGUGCAUGUGUAAAAUUGUGAACCUUUAGGCAAGGAGAAGGAUUACACCUUAGGAGCGAGCCAACGAGCCUUUAGAUUAAGCAAAGGAUACUAGUUGAAGGGGAGAAGAAGAUAUUGUUAAUGAAGAUUUGAAGAUAUUUUCUAAUAUUACUGAGAAAAGGACUCGGCCGAGAUUAGAAAAAAUUCAAUAUUCCUGAAGAUAUCGAGCUAGUAUGUCCGAAACAACUUUAGAAUGUAGAUCAUCCACAUUGCGAUUGUAUUUCUAUUCACAAGAAUUCGAUAGAUAUAGGACUUUGAAUUCUUUUUCAUCAUGUCUUCCCUAAGGUUCUUAGCUCUUUUAAACUUGCUCCCACCCUAUUUACUCUUAAUGGGUGGCUCAUAUGGUUGACUCUUUCCUUUUGUGGACCAUUACAGGGUUAGUAGUAGAAUUAUUCUCUAAUAUUUUAGGGUCGAACUAUCACCCAAUAAAUGCCAAUAACAAAGCUAAUCCUAAAAAUGGCUUUUAUUAUCUUUCUCCUUGCUUGCCAAAUCCCGCCCCAAACUUGUAAUUACUCCAAAUAAGGUGCAUAACUAGAAAAAAUUUCCCUCUUCAUUCGAGUAGCAACAUGCCUUGUUUUUUCAAUGAAUACUGUGAGUAUUGUGAAUUUAACAUUUGCACUUGUUUGAGUUUCUUUUGAUUUUUAUUAACAUUUCUCCUUCUACGAAAGGAAAAAAGUCUGCUAGGGGUUCGAGCACUUUUGACCUUUAAACUUUUGUUACUCUAUUUCUUAAUUUGAAUUCAAAACUUCGCGAAGCAGAGAGAGUGCUUCCUCCUUCUAAUUCAAACUUUUACAACAAUAGGAUAGAAACCACGGU
rnacentral:lncRNA from 1 species